AGUGAACGCUGGCGGUAGGCCUAACACAUGCAAGUCGAGCGGCAGCACAGUAAGAGCUUGCUCUUACGGGUGGCGAGUGGCGGACGGGUGAGGAAUACAUCGGAAUCUACUUUUUCGUGGGGGAUAACGUAGGGAAACUUACGCUAAUACCGCAUACGACCUACGGGUGAAAGCAGGGGAUCUUCGGACCUUUCGCGAUUGAAUGAGCCGAUGUCGGAUUAGCUAGUUGGCGGGGUAAAGGCCCACCAAGGCGACGAUCCGUAGCUGGUCUGAGAGGAUGAUCAGCCACACUGGAACUGAGACACGGUCCAGACUCCUACGGGAGGCAGCAGUGGGGAAUAUUGGACAAUGGGCGCAAGCCUGAUCCAGCCAUACCGCGUGGGUGAAGAAGGCCUUCGGGUUGUAAAGCCCUUUUGUUGGGAAAGAAAAGCAGCAGGUUAAUACCCCGCUGUUCUGACGGUACCCAAAGAAUAAGCACCGGCUAACUUCGUG
rnacentral:rRNA from 1 species